rnacentral:rRNA from 1 species
GAUGAACGCUAGCUACAGGCUUAACACAUGCAAGUCGAGGGGAAACGGCAUUGAGUGCUUGCACUCUUUGGACGUCGACCGGCGCACGGGUGAGUAACGCGUAUCCAACCUUCCCAUUACUGUGGGAUAACCUGCCGAAAGGCAGACUAAUACCGCAUAGUCUUCGAUGACGGCAUCAGAUUUGAAGUAAAGAUUUAUUGGUAAUGGAUGGGGAUGCGUCUGAUUAGCUUGUUGGCGGGGUAACGGCCCACCAAGGCGACGAUCAGUAGGGGUUCUGAGAGGAAGGUCCCCCACAUUGGAACUGAGACACGGUCCAAACUCCUACGGGAGGCAGCAGUGAGGAAUAUUGGUCAAUGGACGGAAGUCUGAACCAGCCAAGUAGCGUGCAGGAUGACGGCCCUAUGGGUUGUAAACUGCUUUUGUAUGGGGAUAAAGUUAGGGACGUGUCCCUAUUUGCAGGUACCAUACGAAUAAGGACCGGCUAAUUCCGUGCCAGCAGCCGCGGUAAUACGGAAGGUCCAGGCGUUAUCCGGAUUUAUUGGGUUUAAAGGGAGCGUAGGCUGGAGAUUAAGUGUGUUGUGAAAUGUAGACGCUCAACGUCUGACUUGCAGCGCAUACUGGUUUCCUUGAGUACGCACAACGUUGGCGGAAUUCGUCGUGUAGCGGUGAAAUGCUUAGAUAUGACGAAGAACUCCGAUUGCGAAGGCAGCUGACGGGAGCGCAACUGACGCUUAAGCUCGAAGGUGCGGGUAUCAAACAGG